AGCAUAUCAAUAAGCGGAGGAAAAGAAACCAACAGGGAUUCCCCUAGUAACGGCGAGUGAAGCGGGAACAGCUCAAAUUUGAAAUCUGGCCCUCGGGUCCGAAUUGUAAUUUGCAGAGGAUGCUUUUGGUUAGGUACUUUCCGAGUUCCCUGGAACGGGACGCCUUAGAGGGUGAGAGCCCCGUACGGUUGGAUACCGAGCCUUUGUAAAGCUCCUUCGACGAGUCGAGUAGUUUGGGAAUGCUGCUCUAAAUGGGAGGUAAAUUUCUUCUAAAGCUAAAUACCGGCCAGAGACCGAUAGCGCACAAGUAGAGUGAUCGAAAGAUGAAAAGCACUUUGAAAAGAGGGUUAAAUAGCACGUGAAAUUGUUGAAAGGGAAGCGUUUAUGACCAGACUUUUUCCAGGCGGAUCAUCCGGUGUUCUCACCGGUGCACUUCGUCUGGUUGAGGCCAGCAUCGGUUUUCGUAGAGGGAUAAAAGCUUUAGGAAUGUGGUUCCUCCGGGAAUGUUAUAGCCUAUUGUAUAAUACCUCUACGGGGACCGAGGUUCGCGCUCUGCAAGGAUGCUGGCGUAAUGGUCAUCAACGACCCGUCUUGAAACACGGACCAAGGAGUCGAACAUUUGUGCGAGUGUUGGGGUGGAAAACCCUCACGCGUAAUGAAAGUGAACGGAGGUGAGAGCCCUUACGGGUGCAUCAUCGACCGAUCCUGAUGUUUUCGGAUGGAUUUGAGUAAGAGCAUAACUGUUCGGACCCGAAAGAU
rnacentral:rRNA from 1 species